rnacentral:rRNA from 1 species
GACGAACGCUGGCGGCGUGCCUAAUACAUGCAAGUCGAACGAGAGCGCCCGGUGCUUGCACUGGUCAAUCUAGUGGCGAACGGGUGAGUAACACGUGGGUAACCUGCCCAUCAGAGGGGGAUAACAUCCGGAAACGGAUGCUAAAACCGCAUAGGUCUUCGAACCGCAUGGUUUGAAGAGGAAAAGAGGCGCAAGCUUCUGCUGAUGGAUGGACCCGCGGUGCAUUAGCUAGUUGGUGAGGUAACGGCUCACCAAGGCCGUGAUGCAUAGCCGACCUGAGAGGGUGAUCGGCCACAUUGGGACUGAGACACGGCCCAAACUCCUACGGGAGGCAGCAGUAGGGAAUCUUCCGCAAUGGGCGCAAGUCUGACGGAGCAACGCCGCGUGAGUGAAGAAGGUUUUCGGAUCGUAAAACUCUGUUGUUAGAGAAGAACAAGUGCUAGAGUAACUGUUAGCGCCUUGACGGUAUCUAACCAGAAAGCCACGGCUAACUACGUG